rnacentral:rRNA from 1 species
GACGAACGCUGGCGGCGUGCUUAACACAUGCAAGUCGAACGGAAAGGCCCUGCUUUUGGGGUGUGCUCGAGUGGCGAACGGGUGAGUAACACGUGAGUAACCUGCCCUUGACUUUGGGAUAACUUCAGGAAACUGGGGCUAAUACCGGAUAGGAGCUCCUGCUGCAUGGUGGUGGUUGGAAAGUUUCGGCGGUUGGGGAUGGACUCGCGGCUUAUCAGCUUGUUGGUGGGGUAGUGGCUUACCAAGGCUUUGACGGGUAGCCGGCCUGAGAGGGUGACCGGCCACAUUGGGACUGAGAUACGGCCCAGACUCCUACGGGAGGCAGCAGUGGGGAAUAUUGCAAAAUGGGCGGAAGCCUGAUGCAGCAACGCCGCGUGCGGGAUGACGGCCUUUGGGGUGUAAACCGCUUUCGCCUGUGACGAAGCGUGAGUGACGGUAAUGGGUAAAGAAGCGCCGGCUAACUACGUG